GGAGGGUGCACACUCCGCCUGACGCUCUGGGAAAGGCGAAGCUGUGGGGUCAGGAAAGACCGGUGCCCUCAGAGAACGACAUUGUCGGAUUUCUGAGUAGAAGGAAGAGCGGUUUUCCUUAAGCAGCUGGACUGCGUUCACGGGUCUCCGCGUGCCCACGGCACACGCGUCUCUAGCUGCUGAGCAGGCGUGUGCAAAUAUGCUUGGAGGCUGAGGGAUGCCGCGCACGUCUAAUAAAUAAAGCAAAAUAAUUAAUAGCACCGGCAGCCUAGAGACCACGCCUAGCUGCUGUGGGUCUGGGCCACGGAGAGCCCUCCGCUCCGCUCCACUCCCGGCCGACCGCGGCCUCCGACCGCCCCGCCGCCGAGAAGACCCCCGCUAAGAGAGCCGUCCGGACCCUGGGGGAGCCAGAGCCGACCUGCUCCUUCCCCCAGAUGCCACAGGAAUUCCACGGAGAUACGAAGGGGUGUUUCUACAGCGAGGCGCUC